ACAGCGAGCGAGACGGAGGUAGAGAAAGGGAGAGAGCAAGCAUGUGUCCGGAGGUAGUGAGAGUGACACCACACGCCAGCAUGUUGAGAUGGAUCAAAUACUUUAUUAGCAAAUGACUGUCAACAUUUAUUUCAACCGCCUUAUGGUACGAGAUGGACGGGAUUCAGACCAUCGUGACAUGUCCAACAGUAUCAUAUGAAACAGCAACGUCUAGGAUAUGGACCACUGCUCCCUUGUGAUGACGCCAUGAUUCUGCUUCUGCUCGCCUCAGAGGUACCUUCAUUGAUAUGACAUGCUUAUGACGGCCUCCAACACCGUCAAGGAAGCUGAGGAAAUGCAGAGCCAAUGAGUCCCGAGUCUCCUUUGGGGAGCUCGCUUGAGGUCUGGGGCCUGUUUGAACUCCAUGGCCCCUGGCUUUUGGAGCUUUCCAAAAUGUUGCCUACAGGGGCAAAGGACUUAUCACCAUGGGUAUUCACCGGCUGGGAGUUUAGGAACAGGGCACUUUGAAUGAUUCACUCCAUAAUAAAUCUCUUUGAAUCUCGCAAAAUUACUAUUCAGCUGUUUCUGAAAGAUGAUUUACCUUAUUCAAAUGAUGGAUUCUUACAGGAAAGUAAACAAAUCAAAGGGAUAUAAAAUCAACUGUGUUUUCUUAAAUGAAUAUUGGAUGCACAUAUAUGUUUUCAUGUAACAAUCAACACCGUGAUCAUAUCUUGAACUCAUCUCCGUUUCCAGCCUUUUUUAGUAACGCUAGAAAGAAAUAAGCUUUGGCACAAGCAACACAUUUCAGGAUGGACUUUAGACUUGGACUGAAUAAUCAAUCUUUACCAUCUGCAUGGCGCCUUCCCAUAUUUUCCGACAGCUUAUGGAAAUGUUAAUUGUGCAGCGGAUUAAAGUAAAAGCACAUUCCCAACUAAUAAGUGGGCCUCUUUGACUGCAGGUUUGUAUUGCUGGUAUAAGUUGCUAAGAGAUAGCUGUGCUCUCAUUUUAGGGGUCACUAAUGUAAUGCUCCUAAUUUGGGUGGGAGAGCGCAUCCGUGUAAUCACAAUAAUCUUGUGCUCUUUAGAGUUGGAUGAUGUUGCGUCAUGGAACUAAAACACAAGAUGGCAAAGACAGUAGUGGAGUAUGUAUGAAUUCAAACAUAUAGAAUAAAGACCUAGUUGUUUGACUUUCUACCAAAGUAACUGCGUUACACAAGUGUGUCGCUCCUGUGUAUUUGCUAUUAAUUUCAGCUACGGGCUGUAAUUGUUAUCAGCUGUACAUUUUUUCAUAUUUGCAUUCACAUGUGCAUCAUUUAACUUUCACCACCAAGUAUUUACGGGUUGGCAAAAAACAUUGAAAAACAAAACUGG
ensembl:lncRNA